UGGCAAAGAAGUUUGGGUGUAUUGUUAUGGUGGACCAUCGUUUUUUUGCACACUCAUGCAUGCGCGCUCUCUUGCAUUCUCUUCAUUCUGCAUUUUAUAGAGCAAACAUUUAGGUUAGACAUGUCAUGGUCCUGGGUUUUUGACCCUUGAAUCAAUCAUUUUCAUGACCCUUUGUAUUUUAAUGUUUAGUUUUUUGUUUCAGUUUUUUCUGAUUGAGGUUUAUUUAGUUGAAGCUCGUGUUGUUUUCACAGGUUUCCUCUUUGUAUCUUUCUGUGUCAAGUUUAAGUGCUUGGCGCUUGUUUUUGUGUCCACCAGUUUUCUGUUUUAUUUUGUUGGUCAUUUGUCUCGUUGUGCCUCAGUUUAAUUCCCUGACAUCAUUUUCUUAAUUUGUUUCACCUGUGCCUUUCUUCUCCGCAGCUGUGUCUAAUUCCCUGGUUAGCCCUGAGUGUGUCUCUGUGUGUCUAUAUAGCCCCAAUUUCCCUUUUUCCCUUGUGUGAGUGUCUGUUUCAGUUAUUCCUGCCAUUGAGUAUAUUGACGUUUGAUUGUGUUUUGUUCCCUCCUGACCACCACUGAGAAGAUAUUAUUGAAAAUAAAAGUGUCACUUUCCAUUUUGGUUUGCAGGGUCAUGAAACACAUGAUUAUAACUUGCUCAUUUAUUUUAACUGACUUAUUUCUUGGUGAGCUUGAAGAAACAAAUUGAUAUGAGGUUCAGCAUUUAAGCAUUUGGCUUAUGGUGAGUUACUUAAUCAGCAUUUGAAAGCAUUUUAUUGGCAAUAAAGCUAACAGUAAAAUGGGCAAAACGAAUAUUUAACAAUGAAGUAAUUUAGGUUGUAAACCUUUUUUUUUUUUUUUUCUUCUAACUGUUGUUUAAAACUGGCUUCUGUCCUGUCAACAUUUACCAGUAAGUGCUAAUGCAGCUUUUUUCUUUACCGUGAGUGCUACUCACUGCACUCAAACUGGGAAAAAUCCCUUAUAUUAAGUUUAGAUUUAAAGAGAAAUUCAUGUCAAAUUAAGGGUUUAUAUAGUAAAUAUCUGCAUAAGUGACUUUCUGCCUAAGUAGUUAAGAAAUAAAAGUCUGUUUUAUAAACAAGAUCCUACAACUACGAAAUAAAAUUCAGACAAAUAAGGUUGUGGUUGUGGUUGAUGUGUCACGCUGUCAACUCUGUUCUCUGCUGUGAUCCAACCAGUACAUACAUAUGAAAGUGUUUGAAAUCCAACAAGGCUCUCAGGCAGUAGAGCUCACGUUUCUCUGGGCUUAAGUAUUCUUAAUUGCUGAUGGGAGUCAACUGUAGAAAAAGGUGGCACCUAAGGCAGGAGGCAUGGCAGGACAAACCCUCACAAGGUCAAUUUCAGGAGGCCCUGCUAGAGCCGUAACAUGGCCUGUAAAGGAAUAAUAGAAAUAGUUCCUAUACGAGAUAGGUUGUAAAGUAUUAAGAGUUUCACACUGAGGAAGCAAGUUUGUUGUAUUUUAUUUAGUUUGACCAUCUGUUUUAUGUAUUUCUUAUGAAGCUGUUAGAGCACAUAGCUGCUGCCAUUCACUGAAUUGUUGACUUCAUUUUCUGCAGUGAACUGUCAUAUGAUAGCUUUACAAAUCAAAGCAGAGAUUUUCAAGGUGGAUCUAUAGUUUGCAUUUAUAACAUUCAUAAUAAAUUAAUUAACUCUCAAAUAAAGUCAUCCACUUCAAAUAUUUCUUUAUUUCAAAAUAGGCCUGAAGAGGAAAAUAAACAAUACAUUAGUAUUUAAAGCAAUUGAGACACUUGAAGCAGCAUGUAAGAUAUCCUUUUGGAGGUCGGGUAAAUUGUCUAUCAGUGCAUAUUACAGCCGCCCCUAAUAUAGUAUGAAAUAUUUGAUUCUGUAUUCAAAAGAAAUCAAGGGCUACUGCUCAUUUUUUUUAAAAGACUGAGAAAAAAAUGAUGCAAAUCAUAACAGCUGCAAAUUAGAAUUUGAGUACUUGCAGAUCAUUUGUGAAUUUAGUGAGAAAUUUGCAUGAAGAGUCCAUCCAUCCACUUUCUUCUGCUUGCCUGACAUGUCUCAGCUGUCUUAGGAGGCAAGAGACAGGUUGCACCCUGAACAGGUUUCCAAUCUAUUGCAGAGGAAUCCAGAGUACCUGUGGAGAGAAUCCUCCACACAGAACGGCACCAGCCAGCUGGUGGAUUCAAACCCAGGGUCGUCUUGCUAUGAGGCAAUGGUGCUAACGGCGAUGCCGCCACGCUGCUCACAGAAAAAACAUAUUCAAUUAAGAGUCCAGCGAUGAUUGUGCUUCAUCCUGCAAUAAAUUCUUUACUUGAUUCUUCACCUGCAAGCAUUCUUGUUUGAUGGAACUACACAGAGACAGCUAUUUGCAGUUGCUAUCGGAUGGCGCUGGAGGAUGCACCAGUCUCUAACUCAGGCUUGCUUAAAAAAAUGUAAAUGUGAAAGAAGAUUACAAUUAAUAGCAUUAUUCUGUAGUUUGUGCAAUUGUUUUCUUGACAUGGCCAACUGCUGUCUUCUAAAUGAUGCAUACCAAAAAGGGUUUGGUUUGCGCCUCAGACCAAAAAUUCCAGGGAGCUGCAGUUUAUGAGAGAACUUCUCUCUGAAGAAAAGACUUGCAAUAUUUAACUGAUCAAUUGUCUCCUGUGGUGAUGGAUCUGUUUGUGAAAGGUUUUUUGCACCGGGCAAAAGUCUCAUACACUGCAUUUUUAUAGUUUUAUUACCCACUCCACUCCGGAUCUUUCACAGAGUUUUCAAAGCUCCAUUAACGUUUUUCAUUACAACUCAUUAUUGAUGCCAAAUCCAUUUCCAAACAAGCCAUUUUAUGUAAAAAAGACUCUGUCGUUAUGCUUCUGGUUGGCUGAAGACAACUAAAAACAGCUGUAAUUACUGAAGAAUCCCGUGUUGUGCUCGUUAUCACUGAAUUGAUAAAAUAAACAUUUGAUUUUGCUAAAAACAAAGUCAGCAAGAGAUGACUUUUCCUUCGCGAGGAUGGUUUUCUUAUUGUCAGUGAAUUAACCUGAUGUUUAUCCCUGCUUGGUUUUAGCUGUGACCACGGAUAUCUCACAGCUGCAAUUGGAUUAGAGACAUUGAACUAUUGGAAUUGAAAUAGCUGGAAUAGAGCUCCCAUAAAAUGGGCUGUAUUCCUCAGAAGGUGUUAGCCCAGCCCACUGGGAGAUGGAGUGCGCUGCUGGCAUGUGAAAGAGAUCAGAGAGAGGGGAUCCUCCUCUGCAGCACCAUUGUAGUCCAGGUAGCAUAGAUCAAACAGAGCAAUCCCCACAGAGCUCCCCAGAAAGUGCUUACUGGGAGGCAAUCUUAGGCAGCCCCGAAAGAGAGCCAUGGCAUAUGGCCUUUUGAAGAUAGUGGUCUGAGAUUAGAGCAUAUCCCGAAUCUGGAAGUAUUAAGAGGGGCUGUACUGUGAGUAUGUUGGUAAGAGACAGAAUGACAGAUAAGGGAAAAGCAAAAACCUUAAUGCAGCAGUUUCAAAGUACACAGCAGAAAAUGUGCAUAGACCUGUUAAGAUAUCGAUCGCUAUCGUCUUCAGGGGCUUAAAGCAAGAAUGUUUUCAAGAACUGACUGGAAUUCAAUAAAGAUGAUGCUUAAAAGUGUAACAUCAUGUCUCCCUCCUUCUACACUCUGUGAAAUUAGAUGUAUUUUCUGACAGGAUUAUCACUUGUUUUUCACUUUGUGUGGACACUAAUUUUCCGUCUAGACCAAUUUCCUGCUCUAUUUUCAUAUCUGCUCUGCCCUCCUCAAUUGGAGAGAACAAAAGCCAAUCCAAUACAGUGU